ensembl:lncRNA
CAGACAGACACGCAGACAGACAGAUAGGCAGGCAGACAGAAGCUUGGGAGAUGUGUUAAAGCCGAGAGGGUGUCCACAUACUGGUUUAGGAGCAGCUGUGGGAGAGUCGAGGAUAAAAUAGGAGAAGACAAUCCUGGAUAUUAGCAUUGUUCUGGGUUAUUGAAGAUGGACAAAUGCCAUCCAAGAGUGGCGAGAGGAAAAAGGACAAUUCCCCCUUAAUAACACACACACACACAACAUCAAAGCAUGAGUAGAAUGCAACGCUGUGAAACCCCAACCAACAUGAAGUUGACCCUUCACUUCCUCACUUUCUAUUGGCUGAUCUUCACUUUCACCCCAGGUAUGUGUUAUUUCCUGGGUGACAGUAAAGCGGUGUUGAGUGGUUGUGCUGAGCACUGGAUGCUGCAGGAUGGCGUUGUCCUGCCUUUCCUCUACAAGAUGACCGCUUGUGUUCAUGUUAGAGUGGUCGUCCCUGGUGAUUGGAUAGCCUUCCAGUAUAGCUCUGUUUUUGCCCCAAAACCUGAGCUGGGAUUGGAGGGCGACAAGGAUGCUGUCUACGCUUGGCUACUGGGAGUCCGACACCGUUUCCCGCUAUCACUCACGCCCACAUACUGGCACCAGCUGUGUCUCCAUAGAGAAGUGUUGCACAACUCGUUCAGUCUGGAGAUUGAUGGGGACAUAGUUGCUGAGAGAACAGUUAUUGCCAAGGUGAUUACCACCACUGGAUUGCUGCGAUUGGGCUGCUUGCCUACGGACCGCCCCCCAGGAGUUAAAAUUGCUCAGGUGGAGCUCUACCUUUUCCGCAUGUGGGACAACAUGGGAAAAC